rnacentral:rRNA from 1 species
GACGAACGCUGGCGGCGUGCUUAACACAUGCAAGUCGAACGGAAAGGCCCUGCUUUUGUGGGCUGCUCGAGUGGCGAACGGGUGAGUAACACGUGAGUAACCUGCCCUUGACUUUGGGAUAACUUCAGGAAACUGGGGCUAAUACCGGAUAGGAGCUCCUGCUGCAUGGUGGGGGUUGGAAAGUUUCGGCGGUUGGGGAUGGACUCGCGGCUUAUCAGCUUGUUGGUGGGGUAGUGGCUGACCAAGGCUUUGACCGGUAGCCGGCCUGAGAGGGUGACCGGCCACAUUGGGACUGAGAUACGGCCCAGACUCGUACGGGAGGCAGCAGUGGGGAAUAUUGCACAAUGGGCGGAAGCCUGAUGCAGCAACGCCGCGUGCGGGAUGACGGCCUUCGGGUUGUAAACCGCUUUCGCCUGUGACGAAGCGUGAGUGACGGUAAUGGGUAAAGAAGCACCGGCUAACUACGUG